UUAUGGUCUUUUCACGUGUUGGCCCGUUGUGUAGUCGUCGCUGGUUGGCCCGUCGGUGGAUGAGGUGAGGGCAGCAGCCUCUUCGCCCUCUCUCCCUCGCUCGAUCUUCUAUCCAAGCCGCCCGCACACCCCAUGUCAUCGCGCCACCGCCGUCGUUGCCACUCCCAUCUCAGGGCACGCCGUCCGCUCCCGAGCCCGGUCCCCUGCUCCGACCCCGCAGAGGGCAUGUUCAUGGACGGAGCGGAGGAGGAGAUCCAGGCGGAGGGCACCAUCUCCAUGGCUGCGGCCCACCCUCCUGUCUGCGUCUUCCCACGGCUGCUUCUCUGGCAGGAGGAGCAGCCCGACGGCUGCCUCCACAGUAGCAACAGCGACAACCUUUGGACUAGCUCCAUCACCACCCGCAGGCACCGGAAGGCGGCUGGAAGGAGGCGAGCGGCAGCCUCACCGCCGACACACUCGCUGCUGACGCCGGCGGCGACGACCGGACAUGGCCGCCCCCUCUCCUUCCCCUGAGAUCCGUCAAGGUCUGACGGACGUCAUCAUGGGUGGCGUGUGUAUAGGCACGGUGCCACGGACGCGGACCUCUACGGCAACCCUCCCGUCAGAUCCAGUUCAAGGCAUAUUGAGUACUGCAUGCAUAGAGCCAAUUCUUGUAUUUGAUGGAGGCCUUUUGACAAUGAAGAGCGAACAAGAGGUCAAACGUGCAAGGUAUGCUCUUCUUUGAGGGCAAUAUUCUAAUGUGUUUCAGCUGUUAAGAGACAUUUGCAUUACCUUUCAACAAUGUUAAAUAUAUUUAGAAGAUUCUUUGCAUACGAGCUACUAUUGUGGUCAUCUGGGGCUCUCUACCUAUGUAGUGCAGUUAUAGUAUCAUUACCUAAUGUUAAAUCUCUAUGUAGUCAUUUUACAGUAUUAUUUACUGGAUGCUAAUCAUGCAAUCGUUCAGGUCACGAAAUGAAAAUCUUGAGCGUGCCAGGAAACAUGAAGCAACUGGGAAUUCCCGUGCUGCUUUUGACUGCUACCAGAAAGCUCACCUAAAACUGCUUUCGAACUGAUCCAGAUCAUCUUGUUGUGGUCGCGUGAAAGGAUGGUGUUCGUGAUCUAUAUCAUGGAAAAUAAUUCCUGGAAUGCCUCUACUACCUCCUUCAUGUCCUCUAGGGUAUGUGGAAGACUGGAUUUGAUAUUAUCCUGGAAUGACAACUAUUGGUGUGCAACUCAAGAAUAUAUUUCAUGACCGAGAGAUGGAAUUUGGAGAAUCUUAGUUCUGAUAUGUACAUGAAUCUUCUUUUAUUUUGUCACGCAACUGAAGAUAUGGGACUAUUUACUCUGUGUAUCUUUUAUAAAUAAGGAAAUGGGCUAUGGUAAAAAAUUCCAAUUUUAAUUAUAUUAUGUGUAGAUGAUGCAUGGUUCCGGAAUCUUUUUGCUUUGUACCGAACUUGAUGCAACGGCACUACCAAUCUGGCUUUUUGAAACAAAUUUUGUGAUGUGCUUGCAAAAUUAAUUACCCUAUUGACUUAGUAUCCUCAGCUUACCAUGUUUUGAAACAAAUUUUGUGAUGUGCUUGCAAAAU